GCCUCUGUGGCCUAAUGGAUAAGGCAUCGGUCUCCUAAACCGGGGAUUGUGGGUUCGAGUCCCCACCAGAGGUA
rnacentral:tRNA from 1 species